GACGAACGCUGGCGGCGCGCUUAACACAUGCAAGUCGAACGGAAAGGCCUGCUUUCCCUUGUGGAUUGCGGGUACUCGAGUGGCGAACGGGUGAGUAACACGUGAGUGAUCUGCCCCCAACUUGGGUAUAAGCCUGGGAAACUGGGUCUAAUUCCCGAUAGGACUGCAGGGUGGUGCCUGUGGUGGAAAACGAUUUUCUAGUGGUUGGGGAUGAGCUCGCGGCCUAUCAGCUUGUUGGUGGGGUAAUGGCCUACCAAGGCGGCGACGGGUAGGCGGCCUGGGGGGGGGGACGGCAACUGUGGGCCUGGGAGCCGGCACGGAGGCUGCGGGGAGAAGGGAGGGGGGAAUGGUGACAAGGGGGCGGAGGCCUGAGGCAGCGACGCCGGGGGGGGGAUGACGGCUGUCGGGUGGUACACUCCUUUGGCCGGGGGGGAAGCCCCCUGGGUGGAGGGGUGGUGAGGGUAGGGGAAGAAAAAGCCCCGGCUAACUACGUG
rnacentral:rRNA from 1 species